AUUGAACGCUGGCGGCAUGCCUUACACAUGCAAGUCGAACGGCAGCACGGGAGCAAUCCUGGUGGCGAGUGGCGAACGGGUGAGUAAUAUAUCGGAACGUGCCCAGUCGUGGGGGAUAACGUAGCGAAAGCUACGCUAAUACCGCAUACGAUCUAUGGAUGAAAGCGGGGGAUCGCAAGACCUCGCGCGAUUGGAGCGGCCGAUAUCAGAUUAGGUAGUUGGUGAGGUAAAGGCUCACCAAGCCGACGAUCUGUAGCUGGUCUGAGAGGACGACCAGCCACACUGGGACUGAGACACGGCCCAGACUCCUACGGGAGGCAGCAGUGGGGAAUUUUGGACAAUGGGCGCAAGCCUGAUCCAGCAAUGCCGCGUGCAGGAUGAAGGCCUGGUU
rnacentral:rRNA from 1 species